GACGAACGCUGGCGGCGUGCUUAACACAUGCAAGUCGAGCGGUAAGGCCCUUUCGGGGGGUACACGAGCGGCGAACGGGUGAGUAACACGUGGGUGACCUGCCCUCAGCUCUGGGAUAAGCCUGGGAAACCGGGUCUAAUACCGGAUAUGACUCCAUGACGCAUGUUGUGGGGUGGAAAGCCUUGUGCGGCUGAGGAUGGGCCCGCGGCCUAUCAGCUUGUUGGUGGGGUGANGGCCUACCAAGGCGACGACGGGUAGCCGGCCUGAGAGGGCGACCGGCCACACUGGGACUGAGACACGGCCCAGACUCCUACGGGAGGCAGCAGUGGGGAAUCUUGCGCAAUGGGCGAAGCCUGACGCAGCGACGCCGCGUGAGGGAUGACGGCCU
rnacentral:rRNA from 1 species